CGGGAAUAUUUAUAUCACGGAAAUUGGCAAACCCUAUGCAUCAGGGCUUCUCCCCUGCCGUGAGAGCCAGCAUACCACUGUACCCAAUGGAAAUGAAAACAGAGAGCAAGUGACUCUGUCAAUGUCACACAGCACAGUAGUUUAGAAGGGAAAUAGUUAAGCAGAACUUUUUAGAAGAUGUAAGACUUGAAUUAGGCUUCUAAAAGAGUGUGAUAGAAUAGAAAGAUGGAUGGAUGAAUGGUAGGAUGGAUGGAUGGAUGGAUGGAUGGAUGGAUAGAUGGAUGGAUGGACGGACUGUUAAUCAGAUAAAUAGAUAGAAUAAUGGCCAUCAAAUGUGCCAAUGUCCUAGUACCCCCAAAUGUAUUAAUAUGUUAACUUAUAUGGCAAAAGAGACUUUGCAGAUGCCAUUUAGUAUUUGGACCUUGAGAUGGAAAGAUUGUCUUGGAUUGUCUGAGUGUACCCAAUUUCUUAAAGACAUGAAUCCUUAAAAGCAGAUAAUCUUUCCUGGGUGGGUCAGAGGGAUGAAACAGAAGGAAAAGGAGAGAUUCAAAGUGUCAGAGAGACUAGACUUUGAAGAUGGGGAAAGAGGGCCAAGAGCCAAGAAUGUGGGUGGUCUCUAGAAGCUGAGAAAUGGCCCUAGGCUGGUAGCCAGCACAAAAUUGGGAUCCAUAAAAAUACAGCUCUGCUGACACCUUGCUUUUAGCCCACUAAACCCAUGUCUGACGUCUGACCUACAGAACUAUAAAAGAAUCAGUUUGUGUUGCUUAAGCCACUAAGUAUGGUGAAUUGUUAUGGCAGCGAUAGAAAACUAAUAACUAGGCUAAAAUUUAGUUGUUAAGAGAAAAACAGGGGAAGCAUGAACGCAGGGGAAAUGUCAAGAGCAAAGGCUCGGAGGAAGGAGGGGCGAUGCGUUUUCAAGGAACUGAGAGUAACUACUUGAAGCAGAGUGGAAAGUAACUUUGGGAAGGCAGAUGGGUCUCUGCGUGGUCCCAGGGAAACUGGUGGCAGGUGGCAAGGAUAGAAGUAAUGACCAUAACAGAUUCAUGAGACUCGGGCUACAAGGUAGAUGCCUACCAUAGCCAGGCAGGUAAUUUAAAAUGAGUGGAAUGAAAAGAUGUAAGGAAAACAGCCUGACGAUGGUGACGAAAGGCAAUUAACACUUAGCUUCAGGGUGGGGAGCGAUAGGGGGUGGUGAGGACUGUGGUGGGCUAGCCGUAUCCAGCAUUCUUGCCCGGCAGGAACGUGAGCCUUCAGUGGCCAGAAAAUUGGCUUUUCCAAGAGAAGCCAGAAAUCUUGAAUUCUUUCCAUUUCUAAAUGUUGUGCCUGUGUGGGCCACCUCGUCUGUGUCACAUAAAGUACACCCACGGGCCAGCGUUCAACCUUUGUUUUCUGCUCCCAGCUUUCUCUCCUCCUGGUUUUUGGAUUCUGUGCUGACUCCCACUGUGGACUGAGCAAGCCUCGGGGGCGAUUACACAAUUCGGUAGUGGGAGGUCUCAAGGGGGCAGAGUCUGGCCUUCCUGCUAGCACAAGCCCAAGUGAUUAAUUAUAAAAAUAAGACAUGAGAUCAUGCCUCCUCUUCCCAUCCUUCUACUCUCCCCCCGAAACAAAACAAAACAAAACAAAAGAACAAAUUUCGCUGGCUUGCUUUCCUGCUUGCUAAAUACCUGCUGACUUCACAUCAGCCCCUGGCCUUGGACUCUGAGAGGGAACGGGCCCACUGGGGGUCUUGCUUGUUGAGCCGACAAGAAGACUGAGUUGUUGCUGAGGAAGCGAUUUGAAGUGGCAGAGCUCAUACACACGAAAAACGAAGGCAGGAGAAGAGGGUGCCUGGGGACAUUUCCCGAAGGAGCAGGCUCCCUGUUCCUGACAGAGGGUGGGCGCCUUCAGCCACUUCGCAGGGAGCCAGGACCCUCGUCUUGACAAGUCUGGCCCCAGCUAACCCAUGGGCUGGGUGGCGUGGGGGCUGGGCACACAGGCUCUGGCGAAGGCUGGCCGGGCUGCCAUUUUGGAUCACUGCUUACAACUUGCCGUGAGCUUGGAUAAAUCAUCCUCUCUGAGUCUCGGUUUCUUUACCUUACAGUGUGUGUGGGGUGGCGGGGGAGAGGUUGAAUAGGGCAGAUUAUGUAAACUGCUUUGCCAUUAUUUCUUGAUGUGUCAUAUUUAUGAACAUGCAGCCUAGACCACACAUACCCAAAGUAUGAAAAUGUGGACACGUGUGUACCCUGCAUGCAGAUGCCUGUUUGUUCUCAGAUCCACUCCCUUGCCUUAUUCUGCACAGGUAGAAACGACCUCUAUCAGGCCCUCCAGACCGCUGGCUUCUGGGUGGAUUUGGCCACUAGGGCGCGGGUGAAAGAUUGGCCGACAGGGAAGGGAAAAGGUAGGAUAGCCCUCCCUUUUCUUUGAUUCCGGCAGCGUCUCCGGAAAAUUCUGUGCUUUCUCUAUGAUCCCAGCACCCACAGAAUCUGGUGGAAUUUCACUAGCUAAAAUGACAGGGGAACUCUUUAAGUAUUGCCAUGUGUUAAAUGCUUUACAUGUAUUUUUAAUCUUAUUUAACUCUCUCCAUGACCUUAUGAAGAGGAUGCUACCAUCAUUAGCCCCAUUUUACAGAUGAGAAAACUGAGUCUCAGAGAAGUUAAACUUGCCUGCUGUCACUGGUGUAGCCAGAAUGCGACCUAAGGCAGUCUGACUCGAAGGUACCGUGCCCACCAAGGAGUGUGCCUUGCAGAGCUGAGGACUGGCUCAAGCCUCGCUUUGAUCAGCAAACCACAAUCCUAACCACCAAACCCCAUGAGCUGACACCAGCUCAUGGUGGGCCUUCGCAAGUGACACUUCCCCUCCAGCCCCAGGAAGGGAAGAGCCGCCUCCAAAGGCUGCAGCAGUUAAAGUUUUGACAGACAUCGCUAACUGGGCCCGAGGAAGGUUCUGUGGCUUUGAUGGGAGGCAAGAUCCCAUCCAGGCAGUUCCGGAAGAUGGCUUUGCUCUGAACAGAUAAUAUAAAGGCCAGGAAAAGUGGAGGGGUGGAGGGAGGGAUGGGGAAGGUAGAGGAGGUGGGAGGAGAAAGUCCCCUAUUUCACAGAGCCAAGCCCCAGCCAGCACUCUCUGACGACCAGGGGAAAGGCUUUGAAAAGUGGAGGGACAGCACCUCAAACCCCGUCGCUGAAAGUGGGGGUGGAUCCCAGCAGAAUCACGUGGCAACUCCUGCUGUGGAUCCAGGGAGACCGAGGAAAGAGUUCAGGUGAUAAAAAAAAAAAAAAUGUUAAUAGGGGACUGCAAUGCAUCCGGCUGUAGUUCCAGUCUUCCGAGGCCCAGUCUGAAACCCUGGGAAGAGAAUGCUGUCAGGCAGCAGCCUUCCCGCCCCAGGCUGACUCCGCUCACCCUGGGCGAUGAUGCACAAUGCCAGGGCCCUUUGUGUGGGCGUGUGAUGUGAGAGACUAUAUUAAAUGCUGCCAAACAGGCGUCUGAUAAGCAUCUUCUCUUCUCCCGGGUCCUUGAACCACUGGGUAGCCACAGAUGAUAACAUCUGGAGAGGAAAUGGACCCUUUCCCCCAAGAAAGAGGAGGUGUCCUUGCGUCUAAUUAAGAAAGAAGAAACCCAUCGAUGCCUCGCCUCCAUCUCCAGAAAGGACAUCUUAAGGCAAAAGAUGUGGUCAUGUUUCUUUUCUGUUGAAUCCCUUCAAUGCUUUCCUAUUGUGAUUAGAAUAAAAUCCAUACUCCUUACCUGGCCAGCCAGGCCCCGUGUGGCCUAGUGCUUGCAUUCUGGUGACCUCACCUUGGACCAUUCUCCCUUUGUCUGCCAAACUCCAGGUGAAGGGCCUCCCCUCAGCGCAUCAAACACACCCCGCUCUCCAUCGCUGCCACGGGCCCUUUGCACGCUCACUUUUCUCUUCCUGGACCUCCUUCAGGCGGCUCUGCGUAGACUUGGCUCCUUCGCACUCUCUGGUCUCAGCCUAAAUGCCCAGUUGCAUUUCUUUUCAGAGAACAGAAGGUUUAUUAUUUCCUAUCUCAACAUCCUUUAUGGUACUUCCAUCCUAUUCGGUGAAUUUAUUUAUUGGUUGUCUCUUUCAAUGGCCUCAAGCCCCUCUCCCUUGUCCUGUCUUGUUCUUGCCUGUGUUCUCAGCAUCUAAGCGUAGGGUGGUUGCUCCGUGAAUAUUGCUGGCUCCAUGACUGGCUGAAGGAGGGCGGGGAGCAGAGAAGCAGAGCUGGAACCAUGGCUGGAGGAGGGGAACUGACCAUUGUUCCUAGGGGUGACUGUCGAUCCUGGAGGGGACGGUGAUGCAGAGUCAACAGCAAGGAGUUGGCUGGCAAAGAGGGAAGGUUACGAAAGGGGGUUCACACAGGCACGAGGAGGCCUGUGCCCGUGUGCAGCCUUUCUCUUCGCCUCUGACUGUCCACUGGCGGACGUGUGUGUAGGCAAAAGUGGGGUGGACCUUGAUCCCUUCACUUUGUCUGGGCCAGUUUCCAGGGCUGCGGACACCAGCUCCUCUUGCAUUCCGCUCACUCCUUCAUCUUGCUUAUUUAUGGGCAGCGCAGCUGUGAGUAAUUCCAACCAACCCGUCACAUUGUCUCAACUAUUUUGAAAUCAUGUAGAUAGAGAGGCGAUAAGGGAAAUGACGAAAGGCAGGAAAGCGAGACGCCACAGCAUGUACAUACGCAGACGCGUCUGGGUGCACAUAGCACAUAUUUUAAAAUAACAUCAGUGUGUGCGUUCUUUAAACAAAGGUGACCAACAGAGAAAUCACGGACCGUGCUAUAGUUCUGUUGGGAAGAAGAAAGGAGAGGCGGGUGACUAUGCCUGAGUGAGCCAAACUCGCAUCCGUCCAAAUCCAAGGUCAUUGAGAAGGUACGUCAUCGAUGAAGCAAGAAGUGGUAAUAGAAGCACCGUAUAUGGAGAUACAGAGGUGAUCGGCAUGGAAUCGUUCCUGUAAGGCAACUAUUGAUGAGCUCAACGAAAUGACUUCGAAGCUUGGUGCGUGAACUUUCCCCCGUGACUGCAUUGCCGGGCGUCAAGUGAAGAGGGUCCUCCUGGUGUCUUAUACCAUCGGAUAUUUCCUUCCAGGGGAAAGGCUGCCCAUCAGGAUGUUCCAAUAAGGAAACCUGGACCUGCCUUAGAGGUGGCAAUGCAGAGUGGCCCUCACCCUUCUCCCUUCACUCGCUCAUCUGACAAGAUGGUGACAAUCAGCAUGACACAGCCUCGCCCCAGCACGGACCAAACCCUGGCCCCUCUGACCAUACCUGAGAGAUAGAGACACAGGAGUCCCUCCUUAUUCUCAGGGGGAUAUGGUCCCAGACCCCCAGUAGAUGCCUAAACCUAAAGACAGUACCAAACCCUGCACAUGCUAUGUUUUUUUCCUACACAUACAUUACCAGUGCUGCUCACCGCAACACAAUGGGGUAAAUUGUUCGCCCCAUAAUGACAUUUUAGUCAACAACAGGCCACAUAUACAAUGGUGGCCCUAUAAGGUUCUAAUGGAGUUGAAUGAUUCCUAUCACCUAGUGACAUCAUAGCCUUAGUAAGGUAGUAACACAAGGCAUGACUCACGUGUUUGUGGCUCACAGUGUGAACAAACCUAUCGUGCUGCCGGUUGUAUAAAAGUAUAGCACAUACAAUUAUGUUCAGUGCAUACUACUUGAUAGUGAUAAUAAACGCCUA